GAAUACACACAUUUUACACAGAACAUUUUAGACAGCAAGGAUGUGUUUAUUAAAUAAGAUUUUUGGUCCAGACAUUUUAUUAAAAAAAAAAAAAAAAGGCUCGACAGUCAUCAAAGUGCAUCAUUGUUCACUAACUAAAAAAAAAAAAAGCAUGCCGUGAAUUAAAAAAAAAGGCAACAGGAACUGAACAAUUUGAAAUGAUGUAGUUAAUUCAGAUAUAUACAAAUUGUUGUUAUGCAGGUGUUAAUAAUGCAGAACAAUUUGGGCUCUGAUGCUUUACUUAGGAAAAAGAACGAGGUUAAAAUGAUGUAGUUUUGGUUCUAUUAGAGUGCAGAUUGAUUUCGUCAUUACUGACAGCUUAACAAGCUUCCAGCAGUGACAAAAUUUAGGGUUUUUUGUUUGUUUUUUGCAAAAUUAAAUAUCAGUUGUUUGUGCAUUUGUUAGAUUUGACUCUUUCCACUGAGCACUUCUGUUGUGUUGCUACUACUUGUGUUGCAUUGUGAAAUGAUGCAAACCAUUUCUGUGUUUGGGUGCACUGUGUGAAUUUGCAGCAACUAUAUUAUCAAAUUAAAUUGUUGCAUGUGCUGCAAGGUUAUAUUUGUUUGUAUUCUCUGUGUUUUUCAAGCUCAUUUUUUUUCCCAAUUUGCAAGUUUUUUUUGUUUUUUUUUGCCAGUUUUCUGCUUUUGCCGGUGUUGCCUAAAUUUGUAAGUGUCAUGGCACCUGUAGGCCACUGGGUGGGCAUGGAUUAUUUUAGCAGAAUACCACGAGACAUAUCUCACAUGUUGCACAUUCUCAUCAAAGUAU